GUCGGCACGACGAGUAAAUGACACCGGCCGCUGACGCAAACCCACGCCGGACAGGAGAGCUCAAAAGCCGGCUUCCAUAAUGUUACCGGGCGCUGACGCAAACCCACGCCCGGCAGGAGAGCUCAAAAGCCGGGUAACAUUUCAAGGAAGACCCCCCCUGCGCAGACCUCCACUAGGCCGGGAUGACUGUUCAGCUGCGGCGGGGAGUGGCCUCCCUCCGGUCGGCACGACGACUUCCAUAAUGUUACCGGGCGCUGACGCAAACCCACGCCCGGCAGGAGAGCUCAAAAGCCGGGUAACAUUUCAAGGAAGCUAUUUAGGAAAAUCUGAGAUAAAUAUCCUUUGCAUAAUAAUUUGGAACACGGUCCCAGUGUUCCAAAUUAUUAUGCAAAAUGUAUUUAAGUGUCAUAAAGAUUACAUUUUUUGUUUUUCAAGUACUGAAAUCACCCUCAGUCAUGGUACAGUCCAUGGUAGUCUGCCAGGUGAGCGCAAUUGUAGUAAUUAACAAGUCUAUUUAAGUUCCGCGUUUUUAAGCGUUCGGCCAUUUCG